rnacentral:rRNA from 1 species
ACGAACGCUGGCGGCGUGCUUAACCCAUGCAAGUCGAACGGUGAAGCGCCUUCCUUUUUGGUGGGUGUGGAUGAGUGGCGAACGGGUGAGUAACACGUGAGUAACCUGCCCCCUUCUUCUGGAUAACCGCAUGAAAGUGUGGCUAAUACGGGAUAUUCUGGGUCUGUCGCAUGAUGGGUCUGGGAAAGAUAUUGUUUCGGUGGGGGAUGGGCUCGCGGCCUAUCAGCUUGUUGGUGGGGUGAUGGCCUACCAAGGCGGUGACGGGUAGCCGGCCUGAGAGGGUGGACGGUCACACUGGGACUGAGACACGGCCCAGACUCCUACGGGAGGCAGCAGUGGGGAAUAUUGCACAAUGGGCGCAAGCCUGAUGCAGCGACGCCGCGUGAGGGAUGGAGGCCUUCGGGUUGUGAACCUCUUUCGCCAGUGAAGCAGGCCUGCCUAGUUUGUGGGUGGGUUGACGGUAGCUGGAUAAGAAGCGCCGGCUAACUACGUG